UACAAUAUAAGGGACAGAAAGAGCUUUGUCUUCCUUCUUGUUGCUUUUGCUGUCUUGGCUGCAAUGAACUACUGUUUCUCCUCAGUGGAUGGCCCUCUGCCAUGUACCACUCUGCCUUGGAGCCAACUAUGGACGGUUCUUCGUUGAGAUUGACGCGAGUUAUUACUCUUCCAGAAUCUUCUUCUACGUCGAAAAUACUGGCAGGGUGCAAAAAGGGACCACUGGAAGUAAAGAAAGAGGAAAGGAGUGAUAGUUGCUACAACUUAUUUGA